GCGAGAGGCCGGGCUCGGGCCAGGGUGCUGCUUCCGGCUCGGGGAGUCCGGAACGAGCGCGCCGCUGGAGCCCCGGAGUCCCCGAGCCGGCUUCCAUAAUCUCCCCGGCCGGAGUCAGGCAGGAGCCGAGGGGUGAUAGGGAUGUGCUCGGUCACCCACGCCUGCGGAUAACGUGUCUGGAAAGUGCAGGAAGGGACUCGGUGCGUGUCCCGGGGAAUCGGGGAGCCACAGGAGCGGCCGGGCUGGGCCAGCUGGUCCCACCUCGGUGUAAACAGCAUCGUCCCGGAGCACAUGGCACAGACCGCAGCCAGACCGCUCUUGGAUGCCUCCGCCAGCAAGACGACGACUGCAGACAGUGUGUUGCAAGCCUCUCCCAGCCUCUUCCCUCAUCACAGUGAGCACACCACUCUGCUUCUGCUCGGAAAGGUUCAUCUGGAAGUCCCAGCAUGUCCUGCAGCCCCAGGGACACAUCCAUGCAAUCCCUGCAGGAC